CACCCAGAAGCCCACGGUCACGGUGCUUGCCCAAUCUGCUCAGGGCUGAAUCCAUUGAGAGGAAUUAUUUUGGUACCAAGAACACAUUUCUCCAGUUCCUGUCCAUAUGUGGGGAGAAAUGGCAAAUGCCUCUCCGGGUGACAGCGUCCAGAAACAAGCAGCCUCUCACCCGGUGAGUGUGACAGAAACCUCACCCACAGCCAUGGCUGACAUCUGAGAGGUUUUCCGGGCAGCCUCCUUGAAGAGGUGAAGAUGGGCUCUGAAACAUUGGUAUGAAGGAGGUGAGAAGAGGGGAAAGACCAGUACUGGGGAAAGAGCUUUGAGAACUGAAGGCAGAAGCAGCUUGAAAACUGGAUGUAGCAAAGAUGGGAUCCACUAGAUCUAAGAACUCAUGUUCUUUCCAUUUAUCAAACAGCAACUGUGUGCCAGGCAUUGGGUAAUCACUUCCACACUGGAUAUUUCACCUACUCCCUUCCAGCCACCCUAUGAAGGAGCUGCCAACACAUGAGGAAACUGAGGGAGGGUAAGCCUUUUGCCCAAGAUCACACAUCUAGGACGAGGCUCUUUUGAUGGUUCCAUGGAAACCCAUCCAACUUUUUUCAACUAAAGUCCGUGAGUUUGGUGGUCCAGACAACGUUUUCUGAGAACACAAAGUGGAGCUGGACGGGCACUCUGUGAAGCCCCUGCCUUCACUAAAGGAGGCAGCCCUCAGGGAGCCGAGAGGCCAAACUCACUUGUGCCACCACCCCGUUCAGGCUGGGAGCAGGUCUGGACAUCAGACGGCCCUGAUUUCAAGGCUCAGCUCCCCCACUUCCUGGACCUGAGACCACAGGAAAGUUACCUGCUCUCUCUGAGACUCCACUGCCACCUCGAUAAAACAAGGAUAACAAUAUAUAUAAGUUGAAUUAUAUGAAAUUGCCAACUUUCAACCAUUUUUGACCUCCGAAAAAGCAUUUCCAAAUAGUCCAACCUAAAGUCUUCACUGAGUCACUGUACAGAUUCAACAAGUGUACACAGGAAACAAUAAAAGGCACUUUUUAGGAGACUUUCUCUUCCAGACUUCAUUUCGCUAAGGUCAGUAAAGUUAGUUUGCAUUCUCUGCGCACACUUCGCACGCAGCGAAGCCAGCCUGAGGUUAUAUAAGUGUUGGAGAUGACAAUUCAGGGAGACAAUAAGACUAUGUGGAUAAUCAAGAAUCAACAACAAAGGAUCUCCUGAGGCCUUACUGCUCCUGUAUUUUCCCC
rnacentral:lncRNA from 1 species